rnacentral:rRNA from 1 species
CAGUCGAACGAUGAAGCUCUAGCUUGCUAGAGUGGAUUAGUGGCGCACGGGUGAGUAAUGCAUAGAUAACAUGCCCUUUAGUCUAGGAUAGCCAUUGGAAACGAUGAUUAAUACUGGAUACUCCUUACGAGGGAAAGUUUUUCGCUAAAGGAUUGGUCUAUGUCCUAUCAGCUUGUUGGUGAGGUAAUGGCUCACCAAGGCUAUGACGGGUAUCCGGCCUGAGAGGGUGAACGGACACACUGGAACUGAGACACGGUCCAGACUCCUACGGGAGGCAGCAGUAGGGAAUAUUGCUCAAUGGGGGAAACCCUGAAGCAGCAACGCCGCGUGGAGGAUGAAGGUUUUCGGAUUGUAAACUCCUUUUGUUAGAGAAGAUAAUGACGGUAUCUAACGAAUAAGCACCGGCUAACUCCGUGCCAGCAGCCGCGGUAAUACGGAGGGUGCAAGCGUUACUCGGAAUCACUGGGCGUAAAGAGCGCGUAGGCGGGAUAGCAAGUCAGAUGUGAAAUCCUAUGGCUUAACCAUAGAACUGCAUUUGAAACUGUUAUUCUAGAGUAUGGGAGAGGUAGGUGGAAUUCUUGGUGUAGGGGUAAAAUCCGUAGAGAUCAAGAGGAAUACUCAUUGCGAAGGCGACCUGCUAGAACAUAACUGACGCUGAUGCGCGAAAGCGUGGGGAGCAAACAGGAUUAGAUACCCUGGUAGUCCACGCCCUAAACGAUGAAUGCUAGUUGUUGUGGAGCUUGUCUCUGCAGUAAUGCAGCUAACGCAUUAAGCAUUCCGCCUGGGGAGUACGGUCGCAAGAUUAAAACUCAAAGGAAUAGACGGGGACCCG